UAGGGAAUCUUCCACAAUGGGGGGCGAACCCUGACCGAGCAACGCCGCGUGAGUGAAGAAGGUUUUCGGAUCGUAAAGCUCUGUUGUAAGAGAAGAACGUGUGUGAGAGUGGAAAGUUCACACAGUGACGGUAACUUACCAGAAAGGGACGGCUAACUACGUGCCAG
rnacentral:rRNA from 1 species